AACGAACGCUGGCGGCAUGCCUAACACAUGCAAGUCGAACGAGACCUUCGGGUCUAGUGGCGCACGGGUGCGUAACGCGUGGGAACCUGCCCUUAGGUUCGGAAUAACUCCCCGAAAGGGGUGCUAAUACCGGAUAAUGUCUUCGGACCAAAGAUUUAUCGCCUUUGGAUGGGCCCGCGUUGGAUUAGCUAGUUGGUAGGGUAAAAGCCUACCAAGGCGACGAUCCAUAGCUGGUCUGAGAGGAUGAUCAGCCACACUGGGACUGAGACACGGCCCAGACCCCUACGGGAAGCAGCAGUGGGGAAUAUUGGACAAUGGGCGAAAGCCUGAUCCAGCAAUGCCGCGUGAGUGAUGAAGGCCUUAGGGUUGUAAAGCUCUUUUACCCGGGAUGAUAAUGACAGUACCGGGAGAAUAAGCUCCGGCUAACUCCGUG
rnacentral:rRNA from 1 species